CAGUCGAGGGGUAUAGGUUUUCGGACCUAGAGACCGGCGCACGGGUGCGUAACGCGUAUGCAAUCUACCUUUUACAGAGGGAUAGCCCAGAGAAAUUUGGAUUAAUACCUCAUAGUAUUAUUGAAUGGCAUCAUUUAAUAAUUAAAGUCACAACGGUAAAAGAUGAGCAUGCCUCCCAUUAGCUAGAUGGUAAGGUAACGGCUUACCAUGGCAACGAUGGGUAGGGGUCCUGAGAGGGAGAUCCCCCACACUGGUACUGAGACACGGACCAGACUCCUACGGGAGGCAGCAGUGAGGAAUAUUGGUCAAUGGGCGCAAGCCUGAACCAGCCAUGCCGCGUGCAGGAUGAAGCAUCUAUGGUGUGUAAACUGCUUUUGUACGAGAAGAAACACUCCUACGUGUAGGAGCUUGACGGUAUCGUAAGAAUAAGGACCGGCUAACUCCGUGCCAGCAGCCGCGGUAAUACGGAGGGUCCAAGCGUUAUCCGGAAUCAUUGGGUUUAAAGGGCCCGUAGGCGGUUUUGUAAGUCACUGGUGAAAGCCCAUCGCUCAACGGUGGAACGGUCAUUGAUACUGCAAGACUUGAAUUACUACGAAGUAACUAGAAUAUGUAGUGUAGCCGUGAAAUGCUU
rnacentral:rRNA from 1 species